GCUGAGGGAAGAGAAGAGAAGAGAAGGGAGGAGAGGAGAGGAGAGGAGAGGAGAGGGACCGGCUGAGCCUGCACACAGCACAGGAGGAUGCAAUACAUAUAGGAUCACACAGGAAAAGUUAUGAUGGGGAGAAAGCCAAGCAUUGGAGUCUGAGCUGAGAGGAUGCCAAGCCCAGGUCCAUGCCAACCCUCCCAUCCAUAGAGGACUAACCUGAGCCCAGCACUCAGCCAACCCUCCCAUCCAUAGAGGAUUAACCUGAGCCCAGGUCCAUGCCAACCCUCCCAUCCAUAGAGGACUAACCUGAGCCCAGCACUCUGCCAACCCUCCCAUCCAUAGAGGACUAACCUGAGCCCAGGUCCAUGCCAACCCUCCCAUCCAAAGAGGACUAACCUGAGCCCAGGUCCAUGCCAACCCUCCCAUCCACAGAGGACUAACCUGAGCCCAGGUCCAUGCCAACCCUCCCAUCCACAGAGGACUAACCUGAGCCCAAUACUCAGCCAACCUUCCCAUC